rnacentral:rRNA from 1 species
UACGGAGGGUGCAAGCGUUAUCCGGAUUCACUGGGUUUAAAGGGUGCGUAGGCGGGUUGGUAAGUCAGUGGUGAAAUCUCCGAGCUUAACUUGGAAACUGCCGUUGAUACUAUCAAUCUUGAAUAUCGCGUAGGUAAGCGGAAUAUGUCAUGUAGCGGUGAAAUGCUUAGAUAUGACAUAGAACACCAAUUGCGAAGGCAGCUUACUUCACGAUCAUUGACACUGAGGCACGAAAGCGUGGGGAGCAAACAGG